AUAGUCAGAGAGAGAGAGUUUCAGACAGAGUAGGGAUUGUGUUGCUAUGUGCAGUUGAGAAGAGACAAGGUUCAAGAGGAUAGUCAGAGAGAGAGAGUUUCAGACAGAGUAGGGAUUGUGUUGCUAUGUGCAGUUGAGAAGAGACAAGGUUCAAGAGGAUAGUCAGAGAGAGAGAGUUUCAGACAGAGUAGGGAUUGUGUUGCUAUGUGCAGUUGAGAAGAGACAAGGUUCAAGAGGAUAGUCAGAGAGAGAGAGUUUCAGACAGAGUAGGGAUUGUGUUGCUAUGUGCAGUUGAGAAGAGACAAGGUUCAAGAGGAUAGUCAGAGAGAGAGAGUUUCAGACAGAGUAGGGAUUGUGUUGCUAUGUGCAGUUGAGAAGAGACAAGGUUCAAGAGGAGAGCGGGAGAAGGAAAACAAGCACCCAAAUUGACUGUGUGACUGCGAGCUGAUGUGUUGAUGCAGCUGGAUCACUCUCACUCCAAUCAGAACACCCCAUUUCCUUCCUCUCCGUCAUACUGGCCAAUAGCUGUGGAUUUCCUCCACACCAUGGGGCUUUGGGUAGAAUUUGUCCUUAGGCACAGAUCUAGGGUCAGAUUACUCUCCCCAUAUCCUUAGAUGUGACCAAAAGGGAGUGAACAUACUAAGCUGGCCUUGGAUCAGUGUGUACGGACAACUCCACCCUACUGCCACCAGGCCUUUGUGACUGAUGGCCCGUGAACAAGGAAGGA